rnacentral:rRNA from 1 species
GAGGAAUAUUGGUCAAUGGGUGCAAGCCUGAACCAGCCAUCCCGCGUGAAGGAUUAAGGUCCUAUGGAUUGUAAACUUCUUUUGUAUAGGGAUAAACCUACCCUCGUGAGGGUAGCUGAAGGUACUAUACGAAUAAGCACCGGCUAACUCCGUGCCAGCAGCCGCGGUAAUACGGAGGGUGCAAGCGUUAUCCGGAUUUAUUGGGUUUAAAGGGUCCGUAGGCGGACUUAUAAGUCAGUGGUGAAAGCCUGUCGCUUAACGAUAGAACUGCCAUUGAUACUGUAAGUCUUGAGUAUAUUUGAGGUAGCUGGAAUAAGUAGUGUAGCGGUGAAAUGCAUAGAUAUUACUUAGAACACCAAUUGCGAAGGCAGGUUACCAAGAUAUAACUGACGCUGAGGGACGAAAGCGUGGGUAGCGAAC